rnacentral:lncRNA from 1 species
GGUCAUACCAUAUAUGUAUGGAUUCCUCUCUGAGUCUAGUUUCCAUAGAAACAAACGGCAUCAGUAUUGAAGCUCUGUGCAGAGAGAUAUCCCAGUCGUAAUGGGAAAAGGUCAGUGUAGUCGACCCCUGUAACAUGGGAGACUUUGACUAAUAAACUGUACUAAUUGGCCCGACCAAAAAUUCUAGAAAAAAAUCCAUAGGUGGGGACAUGAGUCUAGUUUCAGGGAAAAAUUACAAAACUGAUUUUUGAGUUGUGAAACUCAAGAUAUGAUUUUUGAAGCGACUAGUACUCAGACUGGGCAGUGUCUGGAAAAAUUUUUCAAAGUUUGUUAACAUCUCGUGUCCGACUCCGGUGUCGGUCUCGGGUUCGGGGUGUUACAAUAGGUGAGGGUAUUGUUGUCACAUUGCCUCUUCAGGUUCCCAUGUAGCCUUUUCAAAACUGUGGUUUCCCCAUAGAACUUUCACUAAUGGGAUUGAUUUCUUUCUCAAGACUUUCACCCCAAGAUCCAAAAUCUAGACUGGCUCCCCCUCGAAGUCAAAUCUGGUUUAACUUCAAUCUCUUCAACUGGUACCACAUGCGUAGGAUCAGAGCGAUAGUGCCUCAGCUUAAAGACUUGGAACACAUCAUGAAUCCACUCUAAUUUUGGAGGUAGCUCUAACUGGUAGGCAAUUGGUCCUACUCAUCUCAAUAUGCGGUAAGGUCCAAUAAACCUUGGGCUCAACUUGCCCUUACGCCCAAAUCUCAGUACCUUUUUCCAUGGCGAGGCCUUCAGAAAGAAAAAAUCUCCCAUAGAAUACUCAAUUUCUUUACGCUUCAGAUCUACAUAAGACUUCUGUCUGUCUGACGCUGCCUUCAGUCGGUCCCAAAUUAAUCUGACUUUAUCCUCAGUAUCAGAUACUAGCUCAGGACCCAAAGCACGCCGCUCACCCAAUUCAGUCCAACAUGACGGAGUGCGACACCUACGACUAUAUAGUGCUUCGUAAGGUGCCAUCUGUACACUAGGCUGGUAGCUAUUACCGUAAGCAAACUCUGCAAACGGCAAGUAAUCCUCCCAACUAUCUCGGAAGUCAAUUACAUAACUCCUUAACAUGUCCUCCAGUAUCUGAAUCACCCUCUCCAACUGACCAACUGUCUGAGGAUGGAACACAAUACUGAAGUCCAAUCGUGUACCCAGAGCUUCAUGUAACUUCUUCUAGAACCAAGACGUGAAGCAAGGAUCUCAAUCAGAUAUUAUAGAAAUUAGUACCUCAUGCAGUCUCACUACAUCGGAUACAUACAGCUUAGCCAGUUUCUACAAUGAAUAAUUUGUGUGAACAGCUAUAAAAUGGGCUGUUUUGGUCAAUCGAUCUACGAUAACCCACACAAAAUAUUUCUUAGAAGGCGUUAGGGGUAUCCCACUCACAAAGUUCAUAGUUACUCUUUCCCACUUUCACAUCAUAAUUUUAAUCGGCUGAAGCAACCCAGAAGGCAACUGAUGUUCUGCUUUAACCUGUUGGCAAGUUAGACAUUUCCUCACAAAGUCGGUACUCUCAAGCUUAAGACCUAGCCACAAAUACACCUUACGUAGAUCUAUAUACAUCUUAUUUCCACCUGGGUGCAUAGCAUAGGGGCUACUAUGCACCUCUCGCAGUAAAGUCUGUCUCAAAUCAGUAUCUUUAGGUAUGAAAAUUCUACCUUGGAGAUAGAGUACCCCUUUGCCCUUCAGCCCAAAAUCCAUAGUAUUACCAUUUUUGACCUGACAGAACCGAAGAACCAAAGACUCAUCCUCCAACUGUUUACUCUUAAUUUGCUCAAGCCACACUGGUUUAAGUUGGAGCUCGGCCAAUAAGCUACCAUCAUCAAAUAAGCUAAGAUGAGCAAACAUUGCUCUCAGAUCAGUCAUAGCCCUACGGCUUAGUGCAUCGGCCACCACAUUGGCCUUACCAGGGUUUUAUUUAAUCGAACAGUCAUAAUCCUUAAGUAGCUCAAUCCAUGUACGCUGCCUAAGAUUUAACUCCUUCUGAGUGAGGAGAUACCUAAGGCUCUUGUUGUAACACCCCGAACCCGAGACCGUCACCAGAGUCGAACACGAGGUGUUAACAGACUUUUUUAAAAAAAUUUCCAGACACUGCCAAUCUGCGUAAUAGUCGCUUUAAAAAUCAUAUCUUGAGUUUAGAAACUCGGAAUCCAGUUCCGUAAAUUUUCCCUAAAACUAGACUCAUAUGCCCAUCUACAUAUUUUUUCUAGAAUUUUUGGUUGGGCCAAUUAGUACAGUUUAUUAGUCAAAGUCUCCCAUGUUACAGGGAUCGACUACCCUGACCUUUGCGCAUUACGACUUGGAUAUAUCCCUGUACAGGGCUUCAAUACUGAUGCCGUUUGUUUCUAUAGAAACUAGACUCAGAGAGGAAUCUAUACAUAUAUGGCUUGACUCCUAAUUGUCUCUGGUUAAUUUAUAAUGAAUUUCCAAAGUCGGAACAGGAAAUCCAGAAACCGUUCUGGCCCUAUCUCACAAGAACCUGAAUAUCUCUUAACAUACUGUCCGUAUGAUUAUUUCGUUACUUUCCUAUGAAAAUAGAUUCAUCAAGGUUCGUUUACAUAAUUUAUUCACUAUUUAAUUCCAUUCCUACUAUUUUUAGUGAAUUUCCAAAUCUACAUCACUGCUGCUGUCAGCAUCUGCCUUUAAGGUAGACUUUACCUAUUUCAUAGUUUCCAUGAUUCAACUAGCCCUUUUUACAUAAGUAGCACAAUUUAUGAUAGUGAUUAACCAUUCCCAUGGCCAAUCCUUGUCAAGCCUAUCCACACCUCUCAAUAACCAUAUCCAUACCAAAUGAUUAUAACAUUACACUCAAACAUAUAUAAGCCAUUUUCGCAUGGCUAUCCAAAAUUAUACAAGUCCAAAGGGUCCAUGACCCACAACAAACGGGUAGUCCUGUACAUGCCAUUUCGAAGUUCAACCAAAAUUGUACCAAAAGGGGGGCUUUGAUAGUGUGGGCGACUUCGACUUCAAAAUCCCGAGUCCGAUAGCUGGAGAACCAAAAUCUAUAAAAUAGAGGAUCAAAGAAACGGAGUAAGCAAUUUAUGUUUAGUAAGUUUUGAGCAAGGAAUUCCAGCACAGCAAAAGUAUAGCAUUCAUAUAGCUAAACGAAUAAUUUCAUAUGCACAAAUUUUUGAUAUCAUACUUGCUUCACAUUACCAACCCUUAUGUACAGACACAAAAGAUCAACUUAGCCAAAGGCCGGUAGCUCGUUUAUCAACUGAGCGAAUACUUAUUUGUAAGGGCUCAACUAAAUUCAAGCACAUACGAAACAUACCUCAAUGUUGGGAUGUUUCUAGAGUAUUUACUGAAAUUUUUAUAGCAAGAUCAUUCAUUCCCAAAUCACGUACCUUCGGAAUUUAACCGGAUAUAGCUACUCGUUCAAAUGCCUUCGGGACAUAGCCCGGUUAUAGUAACUCGCACAAUUGCCUUCGGGACUUAACCCGGAUUUAGUAACUCGCACAAAUGCCUUCGGGCUUAGCCCGGAAUUAGUAUCUCGCACAAAUGCCUUCGGAUCUUAGUCCGGAUAUGGUCACUUAGCACAAAGCCUUCGGGACUUAGCCCGGACAUCAUUCAAAUAACCAUGCACAUUUAACAACAAAUCAUGGCACAUUCGUAUUUCGUUUUCGUUAGUAAAACUCAAACACAAGACAUUUAUCAUUCUUGCAAUUUCGGCUCAAUAGCCACACAAAGAGCAUGAUUUUGGUUUGCUUAAAACAUGAUCUAAUCAAAUCAUAAUUUAAGCUCUUUUACUCAAUAACUUACCUCGGGUGUUGUCGAACGAUUCCGAUAGCUAUUCGACCACUUUUUCCUUCCCUUUAUCGGAUUUAGUUCCCCUUUGCUCUUGAGCUUAAUUAAACAAAUAAAUUGAUUUAAUCAUUUGAGCAUCAAAAAGAGGAACACAAGGCACUUAGCCCAUAUUUAUUCAUUAGACAUUAAAGUCACAUAUGUACGGAAUCAUGAAUCAAACUCAACAUUUUAGCUAAUUUUUCCCCCUUGGCCGAAUAUGCAUGUCUAUUUUGGGGCCGAUUUCAACACUUAAUACAUUCUACAAGUAUGGUCACUUGUAUUGACUAAACACCCUUUUGUUUCAAGUUCAAAACUUGGCUAAUACACACAUAUAUACACUAGUAAAGCAUCCUCUCCCUUUCCAUCAAUUUAACACAUGCAUUACUCAUUAAUAUACAAAAAUUAUAUUCGGCCUUAGCACACAACUUGCUAGCCGAUUCUUCUCCAUCUAGCAACCAAUGCACAUAUGUGCUCACUCAAAAAUGCUAAAAAGAAGAUUCAAGAAUCAUCAAUCCACCAUCACAUGCAUCAUUAACAAGCUUCAUAUUUAGCAUGCAAUGGCAUUAACACAAAAUCUACCUAGGCCGAAUAUCAUCCCCAUGACAUAGCAAAGAUUUGAACCAUGGGAUAAUUAGAACUCAAGCUAGCAACUAAAAACAUGCAUGAAUCUCAUGGCACAACCUCACACAUACCUUGAUCUAGAUACAAGUAUGGCCAAACCUCCUCCUAAUCCUCUUCCAAACCAAACAUGAAGCAAGAACUCCUUCCUCCUUCCUUAGAAUUUUCGGCCAAAUGAAGAUGAAAAAGGAUGAGCAAAAUUUUCUCUUUUCAUUUCUUUAACUCACGGCAAUGGGGGGGGAAACAACCACACACUUUUUUUUUCAUCAUAUUCCCUUUCAUUAUUUUAUGCCCAUGCUCCUUAUUUUAUUUUUUUCCACCCAUGAUGCACCAACACAACAUGUCUAUGACAUGUCUUGCCCAUCACACUUGGUCUACCAUGCUUGUCAUGGCCGGCCACUACUAAUUAGGGGGGAAUUUGACAUGCAAGUCCCCUUUUUUUAUUUCAUGCACUAAUAGGUCCUUAUGCUUCGACCUAUCACAUUUCAAAAAUGUCGCACAUAAGUCCUAUUGACUAAAUUCACAUGCAAUCGACUAAAUCGAAGCUUGAAAUUUUCACACAUUCAUAAUUACAUAUUCUAGACAAUAAAUAUCACAUUCAAACAUUUCGGUGACUCGGUUUAGCGGUCCCGAAACCACUUCCCGACUAGGGUCAAUUUUGGGCUGUCACACUUGUGAUCCAUGUAAAUGAUACACUUCUCACCGUACAAGUAAUGCCUCCAAAUUUUUAAUGCGAAUACCACUGUUGCCAACUCCAAGUCGUGUGUUGGGUAAUUCACCUUUUGAGUCUUAAGCUAGCGUGACACAUACGCUACUGCCUUACCCUCUUACAUCAACACACAACCCAAACCAACCUAUGAUGCAUCACUGUAAACAGUAAAUUCUUUCCCAGACUCUUAUUAAAUCAAGACAAGGGCCUCAGUCAAAACUUUUUUGAGCUUCUCGAAGCUCUCUUGCAGCUCACUAGUCCAGAUAAAGGGCAUGUCCUUUCGAAGCAACUUAGUUAAGGGUGUGACAAUAAGUGAGAAUCCCUCUACAAAUCUGCGAUAGUACCCAGCCAGUCCCACAAAACUCUAAAUUUUUUAUAGUCUUACACUGCUUCUAAUCCAGGACAGCCUUAAUUUUUCGAGGAUCAACCCUAAUCCCUUCAGUAGAUACCACAUGACCAAGAAACAUUACCUCGCUUAACCAGAAUUCACACUUGCUGGACUUGGCAUAGAGUUGUUUCUCUCUCAAGAUUUGCAGAACCACCCUCAAAUGUUCAUCAUGUUCAUCUUUAGUCCUCGAAUACAACUGUAUAUCAUCGAUAAAUACUACAACAAAUCGAUCCAGAUAGGGUUGAAAAACUGUGUUCAUCAGAUCUAUAAAAGCUAUCGGUGCAUUUGUCAGUCCAAAAGGCAUAACCAGGAACUCAUAAUGACCAUAACGAGUCCGAAACAUUGUCUUGUGCACAUCAGCCUCUUUAACUCUCAGUUGGCGAUACCCCAACCAGAGAUCUAUUUUAGAGAAAAUCGACACUCCUUGUAGUUGAUCGUACAGAUCAUCAAUCCUCGGUAGAGGGUGCUUAUUCUUAAUUGUUAAUUUAUUCAGUUGUCGGUAAUCGAUGCACAUACAUAUGGUUCCAUCAUUCUUUUUAACAAAUAAGACUGGUACUCCCCACGGACACACACAAAGAGGAUGAACCCUAGAUCCAGUAACUCUUGAAUUUGAGCUUUAAGCACCACUAUCUGCUUGGUGCCAUUAUAUAAGGGGCAAUGGACAUCGGAGCUAUACUAGGCAGGAGCUCUAUCCCAAAGUCAACUUCACGAUUAGUAGAUAACCCAAGCAGUUCAUCGGGAAGAACAUCAGGAAAAUCCUUAACCGUUCUGAUAUCUUUAACAGAAGAACCCUCAGACUCUGAAACACUGAUGUAGGCUAAAUACGCGUCACAACCCUUGCGAACCAACUUCAUGGCCCUUAGUGCAGAAAUUACAUUACUCAAAUAGUUCCGUUGUUCCCCAAUCACCAUCAUCUCCUCAUCUGACUCAGUUCUCAGCACAACUCGAUUGGUGGCACAAUCCAAGCUUACCCGAUGUUUAACUAGUCAAUCCAUGCCCAAUAUUAAGUCAAAUUUCCAAAAAGGCAGCUCGAUGAGAUCGGCCAAAAAAAACUACUCCUCGUAUCUCCAAGGGAACAUCUCUAAACAACUUAUUUACCCGAAUGGACAGUCUCAAUGGACUUAGAACAAUAAUUCCACUCAGAGUAUUCUCAACUGGAAUCCCCAAUUUCUCAGUAACAGUUCAAGCAACAUAAGAAUUGGUAGAUCUUAUAUCUAUUAAUGCAGUAUAAGGUACCUUAUGGAUAAAGAAUGUACCCGUUAUGAAAUCUAAAACAUCCCCAUCCUUUCGGUGAUGUGCAACAUAUACCAGUACCGGCUGCCACGCUUCAGUAUAACCAGCACCUUUACUUGGUGCUCCACGACCACGGCCCAUACCAUUUCCACCCCUGGCCUGAGUUCGGCCUCUCGGCGACUGCAGACCACCCCACUGAAUAUUACCAAAACCAGUAGCUUGCACCUACUCAAGCCUCCAUGGACAAUCCUUAACACGGUGCUACAAUGAUUCGCAUCUCAAACAUGCACCCAUCUUUUUCCAACAUUCGCCCUGAUGGCGUUUUCCACAAUCAGCACAAAAUUGCAGUCUAGAAGUAGCAGCAGCAGGGGUCCUUACUCUGAUUAUCCCAUCAGCUCUGGGUUUUUUCUUAAACCUCUGAAAAGAAUUUGAGGGCUUAGCAUCCCUCUUACCUCUGCCUUUUUCCCUGUUGCGGCGCUCAGCGUGCGUCACAUCCUCGAUGAUUUUUGCCUUGUCCACUAGAGCUGCAAAAUCCCAAUCCCUCUGAAGAGCUAUCAAAACCCUUAAACCAUCUCUGAGGCCAUCCUCAAAUCAAACACACCGCUCGUAUUCUAUUGCCACCAUCCCAUGUACAUAGCGACUCAAUCGAAAAAAUGCGGCCUCAUAUUAAGCAACUGUCCUAUCUCCAUGAGUUAAGUUUAGAAAUUCCCUACUUUGGGCAUCCACAUAGAUGGCACCCACAUAUUUAGGUUGGAAAGUAGUCUUGAAAAACUACCAGGUCAAGUGAUCAACUUGAGUGCCCUCUUUGACGGUAAGCCACCACUGGUAAGCUUCGUUUCUCAGAAGAGAUAUUGCACCUUUUAGCUUCUGAUUAAGGGUGCAGUCAAGGUCAUCCAUGAUCCUUUCUAUGGCCUCCAUCCAAUAUUCAGCCACAUUUGGGGAAACACAAAUAAUACCCCUAAAUAUCUCCACCCCAUUAGACAAGAGUCGUUUCGUAACUGACCCACAGCCCACAUUACCAGUACCAGGCCCAACAACCAUUUCUAGAAUUCUCAACAUCGCUUAGGACAAUGCGUCGUCCCUAGCCACUUGAUUCUAAGACCCUGUCUCAGCCAUAAGUGAAGCUGGUGCCCCUCUAAGUUCCUCAUUAGGCUGGUGUCUAAAGACGAAGACCCAACCCGAGCACCUCCACGGCCUUUGUUGCGGCCUCUACCACGAGUACCUCUAGUGCUCAUUAUCCACUCGUGCUUUUAUCUAUAUUAAAAGUUUUAUGCCAGUCAGUUAUUAUUCCAGUGUUUAUUACAAAUGUUCUAUGAACAGUGUUAUUUAGAAGUUCAUUUUCGCAAUUCACCGUUCAAAGUUUACUCUAACUAAAGAGUUUUCCGUACAGUUUUUACUACCUAAAGUAAUCUCAGUAAUAUUUCAGUAAAAACAGUUAGAAGACUUACAGGAUCGGUGUGGAGACUCGGUGUACCACUCCUUUAGUAAAACAUUUCCACGAUUUUGAAAACCCAAACCCACAACCAAGUUUUGCAACCUCGCUCUGAUACCACUAAAUGUAACACCCCAAACCCAGCCUAGACGUUAUGGCCGAAUUUGUGAUGUGACAUUGGAGUUUUUUCCAAAAUGCAAAUUGUCAGAACUCCGUUUUUCACAAAAACUUCUUUAGAUUCUAAAUAAAAGGUUAGGAUGGCUAGUUCCUUGUGAAAACUCAAGUUAUUUAAGCAAAAUAUUAAUUAUACCAGUUUCCCAAGUUUUAAAAUAGUGUUUGUUGCGGAAGCUUUUAAAACGUAUGGCAUAAGUUUGAUGAUUUCAGAAAAACACUGGUUUGUGCUUUCUUGAAAAUACGAGUCCUAUUACUAAUAGGCAAAAAUUAAUGUAACUAAAUCCCCAAAUCAAAAUUUAAAAGGCUUUAUUACAUAACGAAAACCCAAUUUCGAAUAAAUUAUAGUAUAUUAAAUAAAUUAACUACGUCGAGUGGCCACCUUCGAGUCCUCCAUCUCCUCAAUCUGUCUAAGCCUGGGGAUUUCUUGCAUAGAUAAUAGAUGGGUGAGUUUAUGAAAACUCAGUGUGUGAAAUCCAAAAAUAAUAAACAAUCAGAGUAAACGCAAUCUGGGCCUAGGCCCGUUAGUUCAAGUUAGGGCCUUAGCCCCUUUUUUAGUAACAGUAUCAGUUUGGGGCUGAGCCCAUUUCAGUAACAGAGGCAGUCUGGGCCUUAGCCCAUCUCAGUAUAGUAUGCAAACAAAGAAUCCUACCCAAUCCAACCGCUACACAUCAUCUCCAUACCAGCCCUACACACCAUGUGGGGAUAAAGUCGACCCACCCAAUUCUACACACUAAGUCGUACUGAUUUCGAUACUAAAAUAGUAUUUGCAGCAUAGUUGUUAGUAAUAAGCUUAUAGCCAUUCAAUACACUUCCUCUGAAAUCGUAUAUCCCACCCCAUGCAAUACAACAUAAUAUAAAUGAUUGUACAGUAAAUAUGGCAUGGUCACACAGUCGUAUAUCGUGUAAGGGUAAAUCAGUCAUUUACAAAAAUAAGGGUCCGAGUACACUUACCGGCCCAAAAGUAGGUCCACGAUUGUCUUGGGUGACCUGUGCAACCUAUAAUAGUCAAUCAGUAAUAAUGGGCCCACGACCCCUAUUAUGGCCCAUGUGAGCCCACAUGCUCGUAUGGCCUAUAUAACCCAAAAACGGCCUUAGCCGUGUGGUUCACACAGCCUAUCCCAACAGUACCACACUUUUGCGUGAAUCUUUCCAUGUGGUCCCGCAGGCCCAAUGGGCCCACUUUCCCCAGCUUGGCCCAAAAUGGCCCUGUGUCAUUUCGGCCCAUGAAAGCGUUCAUGGCCCUCUCAUUGAGCACACGACAAUGUUUGGUUACACGGCCUACCAUACGGGUGGCCACAUGCCCAUGUGGUGUCGACAACCCACAUUUCGGCUUUUCACCUGUGCAGCUUUUUAGCUUUUUAGCCUUUGUCAUUUUACAUCUAAAAAUAGUGUUACACGCACCUACUUACGAGAACGCGUCGAAGUCCACGACCACCAACCUAUAUUCAAACAAGAUGUGAUAACCCGAAUUAGGGCCUAAUCAGAAUAGUAGUUUCAGGACCACAAAAUCUGAGAUAGAAAUAAUUAUUUUAUGAUUAUUUUUAGGUCUAUGAUAUGAUUGCAUGAUUGUGUGAAAAUUUCAUGAAGAAAUUCUAUGCAUAAAAUGCUUAAUUUGAAGUUAAGGACUAAAUCGAAUAAUUUGCAAAACUUGUAUUCUAGAAGUUUUUAGUAUGAAACUGCUUUGGAAUAUUAAUGAGGAGGUCUUAAAUAGAAAUUUGACCAAUUUCUAAAAUUUUGGACAAAAAUGGGCUUAUACAUGAAAAUUUUCAAAGAAAGGUAUUAAGGGUAUUUUAGUCAUUUUAUUAUUAAAAUUAAUUAAAAGGAAAAUUAAGGCCAAAAUGUGUUCAUCUUCAUCAAGCCUUGGCCGAAUCUUACCUCUCUCCAUAGCUAGGGUUUCUUCAACUUCUAAGCUUUAUAGUAAGUGAUUUCAAGCCCCAUUUUUAAUGAUUUAUGUUUUUGAAAUCCUCGUAGCUCAGUUUACCUAUUUCUACCAAUGUGUAUAUUAAAUAAAUUAAUUUGGUAUUAUAGAUCAAGAGAAAAGAGAUUCGAGUCGAGAUUAGAGGAAAAAUAAAGUUUGCGAGGAAUAGGCUCGACUAUUCUCAUUUUGUAUCGAGGUAAGUUCAUAUGUAAAUAUUGUAAUAUAACUGUUAUUUUAAAUCAUUUAAUGCUAUUUAUACGAUAUUAUGAUUGUUAUCAUGCAAUUCUAUGCUUUGUGGUCAUUAUUGGACAACAUGCAAAAAUUUUAUGAAUUAUGUGAAAAAUGUGAAAGACUACCGAAGUAUCGUCAUUGGUAUUCCAAGGAGAAUGGUAAAGGAGUACGAAUGAGGAAAGUCCCGUUGAACCUUAGGAAUAGACUAGGAUAUUUGGGCAUCCAAGCUCGUUGAGUUGAGUCUGAGUUCACUUAUGAAUGCGAAUGUCUGAACUCGUUUAGUUGAGUCCGAGUUCGUGAUAUGUAACUAGACAUCCGAGCUCGUUGAGUUGCGUCCGAGUUCACUUAUGGAUGCGAACGCCCGAGCUCGUUGAGUUGAGUCGGAGUUCGCUUAUGGGCGGGUUACAUGGUAGCUUGGCUACAUAUGUGGCACUUAUGUGCAAACUUUCCAUGUAUCCGAGUUAUAUUCCGAUGUGUUCAACGGGUAAAAUUCUAGUGAAAUGGAAGAAUACUCAAGAUGCAACUGACGUAUUGGUAAGUGUUGUGGAAUGGGCACUUUGGACAGGUAUGUACUUAACCCUCGGGUUGAGACUUGAUACGACAAAAAUAAUAUGGUAAGACGAUGAAUGAUGUAUAGAAAUUUGAUAUAUGUUUUGGUGAUAUUAUGCUAAUGUUGGUUGGUAUAAUUACUUUGUUAAGUUAUUUGUUAUUUGUUAUUUGCAUGUGGACUUACUAAGCAUCUAUGCUUACUCCCUCCUUUUCAUUCUUUGUAGUUUUGACAAGUCAAUUUGGAGAUCGGGACGGUCGGAGGCACGCUCACACUAUCACUGGACAAUCACGGUAUAAUGACUUGUAAUUUUUGGAAAUAUGGCAUGUAUAGCAUUCCAAUCAUUUUGUGUGUAUAAUCUUACGAUAUGGCCCAUGGAUGGAAUAGAAAUGUUUGAGAAUGAUUAGCUAUUGGAAUGGCUAAUCUAGUUUAUAUAUGAUAACAUGAUGCUGUAUGUCUUAACUAAACCAUGAAAAUCCUUGGAAAGGUAAAAUUGGCCACAAAGCAGAAUCAGACAGCAGCAGUGAUGUGAAUUUGAAAAAUCAAUAAAAAUAGUACAAAUGGAAUUAAAUAAUGAAUAAGUUAUGGCAUCGAAUCUUGAUGAGUCUAUUUUCAUAUGGAAGAAACUAAACAGGUAAAUGAGUUAUAUUUUAUGAGAUAUUUAAGUUUUGGUUGAAUAGGGUUAGAGCGAUCUCUGAAUCCCCUGUUCUGACUUUAAAAAUUUACCAUAAUUUGUAAAAAAAAAUUAGGAGUUUUAAGUUACAUGUAUGAAAUCCUUAUUGAGUAUAGUUUUAUGAGAAGUUAACAGCAUAGUCAUUGAAACUCUGUAUAGGGAGAUAUCUGAUUUGUAAUACACAAGGGUCAGAGUAGCCAAACCCUAAAAUAGGGGAGACUUUAACUAAUAAACUAUACUAAUUGGCCGGACCAAAAAUUCUAGAAAAAUUUAGUAAGUAGAUAUAUGAGUCUAUUUUCAGGGAAAAUUUACAGAAUUGGAUUUCGAGUUUCAUAACUCAAGAUAUGGAUUUUUUAGCGACUGUGACGCAGUUAGCCACCUUGUCUGGAAAUUCUAAAAUAAAUUGUUUGAGCUGUUUAAUUAAUGAAUUAAGUCCGUUAACACGUCGUGCUCGACUCCGAUGACAGUCUCGGGUACGAGGGCAUUAUAUUUGGUGGUAUCAGAGUAGGUUUAGUCUAUUCUCGGGCUAACAUGGUGUAAGUACAGAUUUUGCUAAACAUGCCAUAUUUAUAUAUUGUGAUAGUGUGACGACUCCUGACCUUUUUAAAUGAUUUUUUUUAGUAAAUGGAUCCCGAUCCAACUGUGGCUGAUGAUGUAGAGAGCAAUGCGCCAGCUCUUGCUGAAGGGGUGGUGCCGACUGAAAAUCGACCUCCUACUUUUGGUCAAGGAGGAGGAGAAAGGGCUCGGGAAGCCUUUCUCCAAAUGAUGAAUGCUUGGUAUAUAGAGUUCAAUCGUACGAACCCGACUGCUCAGCAACCUCCCCCACCACCCCCGAUUUCUCAACCUAUACCCCAGAUGCCUUCAGGUAUGGAUCUGAUGAAAUUCCAUAGAUCUCCAGUUGAUCGAAUCCGUAAGCAAGGGUCCGAAGAAUUCAGGGCAAAUGUUGAUGAUGACACUGAAAAAGCAGAAUUUUGGCUCGAAAAUUCUAUUCGGGUAUUUGAAGAGUUAUCUUGUACACCUAAAGAGUGCUUGAAGUGUGCUAUAUCAUUGCUGAGGGAUUCGGCUUAUCAUUGGUGGAAGACAUUAAUUUCAGUGGUGCCGAAAGAGAAGGUGACUUGGGAAUUCUUUCAAGAAGAAUUUCGAAAGAAAUAUAUCAGUGAAAGAUUUGUAGACCAGAAGCGUAAAGAGUUUCUUGAGUUGAAGCAGGGUGUGACAGCCCAAAGUUGACCCUAGUCGGGAAGUGGUUUCGGGACCGCUAAACCGAGUCACCAAAAUGUUUGAAUGUGAUACUUAUUGUCUAGAAUAUGUAAUUAUGAAUGUGUGAAAAUUUCAAGCUUCAAUUUGGUUGAUUUCAUGUGAAUUUAGUUAAUAGGACUUAUGUGAGAAAAUUCUAAAAUGUGAUAGGUCAAUGUGUGAGGACCUAUUAGUGCAUGUGGACAAAGGGGGGACUUGCAUGUCAAAUUUCCCCCCUACUAGUAGUGGUCGGCCAUGAUGGGCAUGAUGCACAAUUGUGCAAUUUAUUUUAUGGAAAUUAUGGCAUGAGUAUGGCACAAAUAAGAUAUAUUAAUUUGUGUCAUAAAAUGUUGGGAUAAAACAAAUAAAAUAAUAAAAAGGAGUAUGGAGAAUACAAAAAAAAAUGUGUGUGUAGUUGUUUGUCCCCCCCAUUGCCGUGAGCUAAAGAAGAGAAAGGAGAGAAUUUUGUUCAUCCUUUUCUCAUCUUCAUGCUUGCCGAAACUAGAAAGAAAAAACAAAGAAAAAUUUUCUCAUCCUUUGGUUCAUCCUUGGCCAAAAAUUUUAAGGAGGAAAGAAGAAGAAAGGUGAAGAGAGUCGGCCAUGCAUGUAGCUAGGCUAAGGUAUGUUUGAUGAUGUUCCAUGAGAUGCAUGCAUGUUUUAGUUGUUAGCUUGAGUUCUACUUGGCCCAUGGUCUAAAUCUUGCUAUGUGAUGGAAUUGGCACUUGACCAUGGAUGCAUCAUUCUUGGUUGGUGUUUGAUGUUGUGGUGAUGAGGCAUGAGGAUGAGUUAAGAUUCGGCCUAGGUGGAGGUUGUGUUAAUGCCAUUGCAUGCAAAAUAUGAAGCUUGUUAAUGAUGCAUGUGAUGAUGGCUUGAUGAUUCUUGAACCUCCUUUUUAGCAUUUUUGUGUGAGCACAUAUGUGCAUUGGUUGCUAAAUGGAGAAGAAUCGGCUAGCAAGAUGUGUGCUAAGGCCGAAUGUAACUUUGCAUGUUGAUGAGCAAUGCAUGUGUUAAAUCGAUGAAAAGGGGGGAGGAUGCUUUACUAGUGUGUGUAUAUGUGUGUAUUAAGUGUUGAGAUCGACCCCAAAAAUAGACAUGCAUAUUCGGCCAAGGGGAAAGAAAUUAGCUAAUAUGUUGUGUUGAUGCAUGAUUUUUGCAUGUAUGAGACUUUAAUGUCUAAUGUAUAAUUAUGGGCUAAGUGCCUUGUGUUCAUCUUUUUGAUGCCUAAAUGAUGAAAUCAAUUUAUUUGUUUGAUUAAGCUCAAGAGCAAAGUGGAAAUAAAUCCGAUAAAGGGAAGGAAAAAGUGGUUGAAUAGCUAGCGGAAUCGUUCGACAACACCCGAGGUAAGUUCUUGAGUAAGAGAGCUUAAAUUACAAUGUGAUUAAAUCAUGCUCUAUGUGUGGCUAUUGAGCCGAAUGUGCAAGGACGAUAUGUGCCUUGUGUUUGAGUUUCGCAAAUGAAAAUGAAAUAUGAAUGUGCAUGAUUAAUUGAAUGCUGUCCGGGCUAAGUCCCGAAGGCUUUGUGCUAAGUGAAUAUAUCCGGACUAAGAUCCGAAGGCCUUUGUGCGAGAUACUAAAUCCGGGUUAAGUCCCGAAGGCAUUCGUGCGAGUUAUUAAAUCCGGGUUAAGUCCCGAAGGCAUUCGUGCGAGUUGUUAAAUCCGGGUUAUGUCCCGAAGGCAUUGUGUGAGUUACUAAAACCGGGCUAUGUCCCGAAGGCAUUUGAACGAGGAGCUAUAUCCGGUUAAAUCCCGAAGGUACGUGAUUUGGUAAUGAAUGAGCUUGCUGUAAAAUUCCAGCGAAUACUCGAAAAACAUCCCAAUAUGGGGAUAUGUUACGUAUGUGUUGAAUUUAAUCGAGCCCUUACAAAUAAAUGUUCGCUCAGUUGAUAAACGAGCUACCAGCCUUCGGCUAAGUUAGUCUAUUGUGUAUGUACAUAAGGGUUGUGAAUGUUGUGAAGCAAGUUUGAUAUCGGUAAAUUGCGUAUUAUGAAAUAUUCCAUUUAGCUAAAUGUGUGUUAUUCUUUGUUUAUGCUGGAAUUUCUUGCUCAAAACUUACUAAGCAUAAAUUGCUUACUUCGUUCCAUUGCUCCUCUGUUUUAUAUAUUUUUUGGUUCUCCAACUAUCGGACUCGGGAUCUUGACGUCGAAGUCGCCCACACUAUCAAAGGCUCUUAUGGGUACUCUUUUGGUUGAAUUUUGAUAUGGCAUGUAUAGGACGACCCAUUGUUGUUUUUCGAGUACUUUAUGUGAUGUAUAAGUUUUGGAUAGCCAUGUGAAAAUGGCUUAUAUGUGUUUAAGUAUAAUGUUAUAAUCAUUUAGUGUGGAUAUGCUUGACAAGGAUUGGCCACGGGGAUGGUUAAUCACUUUCAUAAAUUGUGCUAUGUAUGCAAAAAGGGCUAGUUGAACCAUGAAAUAGGUAAAGCCUACCUUAAAGGUAGAUGCUGACAGCAGCAGUGACGUAGAUUUGGAAAAUCACUAAAAAUAGUAGGAAUGGAAUUAAAUAGUGAAUAAAUUAUGUAAACAAACCUUGAAGAAUCUACUUUCAUAGGAAAGUAACUAAACAAUCAUAUGGACAGUACAGUAAGAGAUAUUCGGGUUCUUGUGGAACAGGGCCAGAACAGUUUCUGGAUUCCCUGUUCCACCUUUGGAAAUUCACUAUAAAUUGACCAGAGAUAAUUAGGGGUCAUACCAUAUAUGUAUGGAUUCCUCUCUGAGUCUAGUUUCCAUAGAAACAAACGGGAUCAGUAUUGAAGCUCUGUGCAGAGAGAUAUCCAAGUCGUAAUGGGAAAAGGUCAGUGUAGUCGACCCCUGUAACAUGGGAGACAUUGACUAAUAAACUGUACUAAUUGGCCCGACCAAAAAUUCUAGAAAAAAAUACAUAGGUGGGGACAUGAGUCUAGUUUCAGGGAAAAAUCACCAAACUGAUUUUCGAGUUGUGAAACUCAAGAUAUGAUUUUUGAAGCGACUAGUACUCAGACUGGGCAGUGUCUGGAAGGAAAUUUUUCAAAGUUUGUUAACAUCUCGUGUCCGACUCCGGUGUCGGUCUCGGGUUCGGGUUGUUACAUUUUAUUGGUAUCAGAGCUACGGUUUAGUCGAUUCUAGGACUACCGUAAUGUUUUGGGUCUAGCUAUACAUGCCAUUUUAUGUGAUUACUUGAUAGUGUGGUGAUUUCUGACAAUUGUAAAUGUGUUUAUUUAUAGUAAUGGAUCCCGAUCGUGACCGAGAGGUAGCUGAUGAUCUUGAGAGUGUAGCGCCUGCUCCCGCACAAGGGACAGUGCCGGCAGACUCUCAACCUAAUGCUAGUAAUCCGAAUGAUGAAGCUAGACAAGCAUUCUAUAGCGUGAUGAAUGAUUGGUUUAACCAAUACAUUCGAACUAAUAUGGCUGUUCCACAACCUCCAUUCCCGACAAAUACUACCCCCGCACCUACAAUACCACCGGUAACGGACCAAAUAAGGUCAAAUAAGCCCCCAGUUGACAGAAUCCGAAAACAUGGGGCUACUGAAUUUAAGGCUAUGGAUAGCGAUGAUGCCGAGCAAGCUGAAUUUUGGCUGGACAACACUAUCCGGGUACUCGAUGAGCUAUCUUGUACACCCGAUGAAUGCCUAAAGUGUGCUAUCUCCUUGCUACGUGAUUCUGCCUACUAUUGGUGGAGUACUCUGACUUCUAUUGUGCCCCGAGAGCAAGUAACUUGGGAGUUUUUCCAAACUGAGUUUCGGAAAAAGUAUAUCAGUCAGAGAUUUGUUGAUCAAAAACGGAAGGAAUUUCUUGAGCUUAAGCAAGGCUCCAUGUCGGUUACUGAUUACGAGUGAAAAUUUGUUAGACUUAGCAAAUACGCUCGGGAAUGUGUUUCAUCCGAAGCUAUUAUGUGUAAACGCUUCGAGGAUGGGCUGAAUGAAGAUAUAAAAAUGUUCGUUGGCGUUCUUGAAAUACGAGAGUUCGUGGUACUUGUUGAACGAGCUUGUAAAGCCGAAGAGCUUAGAAAAGAAAAGCAAAGAGUUGAUGAGGGAACUGGAGAGUUUCGUAAAAGAUCCUCGGGAAGGUCUCUUCAACAGACAUCGAAGAGAUUUCGAGAUGAUGCGGGCCAGUUUAGAGGCACUUCGGGCCUUUUUGGACGAGAUCGUGAUCGACCCCCUGUGGGUACACGAGGCACUUCGGUCGCCAGUGUUGGGAAUGAACGUCGAGACAGGACGAAAUGCCGAUAUUGCGGUAAAUGGCAUUCGGGGAGUUGUAGAUUUCCUGACCGCUCCUGUUACAAAUGCGGAUCAGUUGACCACUUCAUUAAAGAUUGCCCGAGGUUGUCGGGACAGAAUGCAAAUCAGAGUGGGAGACCGGGUGCUACCACUGAUCGAGGUAGACCAUCUGGAAAUAUGGGCAAUGCUAGUGGUGGUCAGAGAGGAUCUAGAGAUGAUAUAACCAGAUCCGAAGCCCGUGCGCCUACUAGAGCUUAUGCUAUACGUGCCCGCGAGGAUGCUUCUUCGCCUGAUGUUAUUACCGGUACAUUCACUCUCUUUGAUACUAAUGUAAUUGCUUUGAUUGACCCCGGUUCUACUCAUUCUUACAUAUGUGAAACCUUAGCAUCCAGUAAGACUUUACCGAUUGAGUCUACUGAGUUCGUAAUUCAGGUGUCAAAUCCCUUGGGUCGUUACGUGCUUGUCGACAAAGUGUGUAAGAAAUGUCCCCUGGAAAUUCGAGGUUCCUGUUUUCCGGCGGACUUGAUGCUUUUGCUGUUUGAUGAAUUUGAUGUUAUCCUUGGGUUGGAUUGGUUGACCGCGCAUGAUGCGAUUGUGAAUUGCAAGAGCAAGACUAUUGAUUUGAGGUGCGCAAAUAACGAAGUAGUCCGAAUUGAGUCUGCGGACUUGGAGGGGAUGCCAGCUGUAAUAUCAGCAAUGUUGGCACAGAAAUAUGUAAGAAAAGGGUGCGAAGCAUACCUUGCGUAUGUACUUGGUGACAAAGAAUUAGAAAAGAAACCCGAAUCUGCGCCGGUGGUUUGUGAAUACCCGGAUGUUUUUCCGGAAGAAUUACCGGGUUUACCACCUGUUCGGGAGGUAGAGUUUGGUAUUGAGCUUGUACCUGGGACUACGCCGAUUUCGAUAGCUCCGUAUCGUAUGGCACCAACCGAGUUAAAGGAGUUGAAAGCUCAGUUGCAAGAACUGACGGAUAGAGGUUUCGCUCGACCAAGUUUCUCACCUUGGGGUGCACCAGUAUUGUUCGUGAAAAAGAAGGACGGAACCAUGAGGUUGUGCAUUGACUAUCGUCAGCUGAACAAAGUGACGAUAAAGAACAAAUAUCCGUUGCCGCGCAUCGAUGAUUUGUUCGACCAACUGAAGGGAGCCUCAGUGUUCUCAAAAAUAGAUUUGAGAUCGGGCUAUUAUCAGUUGCGAAUCCGAGAUUCAGAUAUUCCCAAAACUGCCUUCAGAACGAGAUAUGGUCACUACGAAUUCUUAGUGAUGCCGUUUGGGCUCACUAAUGCCCCUGCAGUAUUUAUGGAUUUGAUGAAUUGGAUCUUCAGACCGUAUUUGGAUCGGUUCGUAGUGGUGUUCAUUGAUGACAUUUUGGUCUAUUCAAGAGACGAGACCGAACAUGCUGAGCAUCUGAGGCUAGUGCUGCAAAUUUUGCGGGAUAAGUAGUUAUAUGCUAAGUUCAGUAAGUGUGAGUUCUGGUUAAGAGAGGUUAGCUUCUUGGGUCAUGUGGUAUCCGUGUCGGGUAUUCGAGUUGACCCGAACAAAAUUUCAGCCAUACUUGACUGGAAACCUCCGAGAAAUGUUACUGAAGUUCGGAGCUUUUUGGGGCUCGCCGGUUAUUACCGACGAUUUGUGAAAGGUUUCUCGAUGAUAGCCACACCAAUGACGAAGCUACUUCAAAAGGAUGUUAAGUUCGAGUGGACGGAGAAAUGUCAGAAAAGUUUCGGCCAACUGAAAACUCAUUUGACUGAAGCUCCAAUUUUGGUGCAACCCGAAUCAGGUAAAGAGUUUGUCAUUUAUAGUGACGCAUCCCUACUUGGGUUGGGUUGCGUAUUGAUGCAAGAAGGUCGAGUCGUGGCCUAUGCGUCGAGACAAUUGAAGCCUCACGAGAGGAAUUAUCCGACCCAUGAUCUCGAACUAGCUGCCAUCGUGUUUGCUUUAAAAAUAUGGCGACAUUAUCUGUUUGGUGAGAAGUGCCAUGUAUUUUCGGAUCACAAAAGUCUCAAAUAUUUGAUGACUCAAUGAGACUUGAAUCUGCGACAAAGACGUUGGCUUGAGUUGUUGAAAGAUUACGAGCUUGUCAUUGAUUAUCACCCGGGAAAGGCUAACGUGGUUGCGGACGCCUUAAGCCGGAAGUCAUUGUUUGCUUUACGAGCGAUGAACGUGCAUUUGUCUGUUCUACCAGACAGUGUGUUAGUAGCUGAAUUAAAAGCUAAACCAUUAUUGACUCACCAAAUUCGUGAAGCUCAGAAAGUCAAUGAUGAAUUGGUUGCAAAACGGGCUAAGUGCUUUCCGAACGAGGAAUCGGAGUUUCAAAUUGAUGAUGAUGAUUGUUUGAGGUUCAGAAAUCGUUUGUGUGUUCCAAGGAAUUCGGAACUCAUUUCGAUGAUUCUGAACGAAGCCCAUUGUAGCCGAAUGUCAAUUCACCCGGGGAGUACGAAAAUGUACAACGAUUUGAAACGUCAAUUUUGGUGGCAUGGUAUGAAACGGGACAUCUCCGACUUUGUUUCGAGAUGUUUAAUAUGUCAACAAGUGAAAGCGGAACAUCAAGUGCCUUCAGGAUUACUCCAGCCGAUCAUGAUACCCGAGUGGAAAUGGGAUCGAGUCACAAUGGACUUUGUGUCCGGACUGCCCUUGUCAGCAAGUAAGAAGGAUGCGAUAUGGGUUAUUGUUGAUAGACUGACUAAGUCGGCUCAUUUCAUCCCCGUACGUACGGAUUUUUCAUUGGAUAAACUAGCUGAAUUGUACGUUUAUCAAAUUGUGAGAUUACACGGGGUACCUGUUUCUAUCGUGUCGGAUAGAGAUCCGAGAUUCACCUCACGAUUUUGGAAGAAAUUGCAAGAAGCUCUGGGUACCAAGCUGCAUUUUAGCACUGCUUUUCACCCCCAAACCGAUGGUCAAUCCGAGCGGAUAAUUCAGAUACUUGAGGAUAUGUUGAGAUGUUGCAUCCUCGAGUUCAGUAGUUCAUGGGAACGGUAUUUACCUUUGAUUGAAUUCGCUUACAACAAUAGUUUUCAAUCAAGUAUUAAGAUGGCACCUUACGAGGCAUUGUAUGGUCGUAAAUGCCGUACACCAUUGUUUUGGACCGAGCUCGGUGAAAGUAAAAUUUUCGGAGUUGAUUUGAUUAAAGAUGCUGAACAGAAAGUAAAGGUAAUCCGUGAAAGUCUGAAGGUAGCCACGGAUCGUCAGAAAUCGUACGCAGAUUUGAAACGAAAAGACAUCGAGUAUCAGGUGGGAGACAAAGUGUUCCUUAAGGUUUCACCUUGGAAAAAGAUACUCAGGUUCGGCCGUAAGGGCAAGUUGAGCCCAAGAUUCAUUGGGCCGUACGAAAUCUCCGAACGAGUUGGUCUGGUUGCGUAUAGAUUGAUUUUGCCCCCGGAGCUUGAAAAGAUUCAUGACGUCUUUCAUGUUUCGAUGCUUCGACGCUAUCGAUCUGAUCCAUCGCAUAUAAUUAGCCCAUCAGAGGUUGAAAUUCAAGUCGACAUGAGCUAUGAAGAAGAACCGAUGCGUAUCCUAGCUCGUGAAGUGAAGGAGUUGCGAAACAAAAGAGUUCCGCUAGUAAAGGUGCUAUGGCUCAAACACGGGAUCGAGAAAGCUACUUGGGAGACCGAGAGCUCGAUGAAAGAACGAUACCCAAACCUAUUUACCGGUAAGAUUUUCGGGGACGAAAAUUUCUUAAGUGGGGGAGAGUUGUGACAGCCCAAAGUUGACCCUAGUCGGGAAGUGGUUUCGGGACCGCUAAACCGAGUCACCAAAAUGUUUGAAUGUGAUACUUAUUGUCUAGAAUAUGUAAUUAUGGAUGUGUGAAAAUUUCAAGCUUCAAUUUGGUUGAUUUCAUGUGAAUUUAGUUAAUAGGACUUAUGUGAGAAAAUUCUAAAAUGUGAUAGGUCAAUGUGUGAGGACCUAUUAGUGCAUGUGGACAAAGGGGGGACUUGCAUGUCAAAUUUCCCCCCCUACUAGUAGUGGCCGGCCAUGAUGGGCAUGAUGCACAAUUGUGCAAUUUAUUUUAUGGAAAUUAUGGCAUGAGUAUGGCACAAAUAAGAUAUGUUAAUUUGUGUCAUAAAAUGUUGGGAUAAAACAAAUAAAAUAAUAAAAAGGAGUAUGGAGAAUACAAAAAAAAAAGUGUGUGUAGUUGUUUGUCCCCCCCCCAUUGCCGUGAGCUAAAGAAGAGAAAGGAGAGAAUUUUGUUCAUCCUUUUCUCAUCUUCAUGCUUGCCGAAACUAGAAAGAAAAAACAAAGAAAAAUUUUCUCAUCCUUUGGUUCAUCCUUGGCCAAAAAUUUUAAGGAGGAAAGAAGAAGAAAGGUGAAGAGAUUCGGCCAUGCAUGUAGCUAGGCUAAGGUAUGUUUGAUGAUGUUCCAUGAGAUGCAUGCAUGUUUUAGUUGUUAGCUUGAGUUCUACUUGGCCCAUGGUCUAAAUCUUGCUAUGUGAUGGAAUUGGCACUUGACCAUGGAUGCAUCAUUCUUGGUUGGUGUUUGAUGUUGUGGUGAUGAGGCAUGAGGAUGAGUUAAGAUUCGGCCUAGGUGGAGGUUGUGUUAAUGCCAUUGCAUGCAAAAUAUGAAGCUUGUUAAUGAUGCAUGUGAUGAUGGCUUGAUGAUUCUUGAACCUCCUUUUUAGCAUUUUUGUGUGAGCACAUAUGUGCAUUGGUUGCUAAAUGGAGAAGAAUCGGCUAGCAAGAUGUGUGCUAAGGCCGAAUGUAACUUUGCAUGUUGAUGAGCAAUGCAUGUGUUAAAUCGAUGAAAAGGGGGGAGGAUGCUUUACUAGUGUGUGUAUAUGUGUGUAUUAAGUGUUGAGAUCGACCCCAAAAAUAGACAUGCAUAUUCGGCCAAGGGGAAAGAAAUUAGCUAAUAUGUUGUGUUGAUGCAUGAUUUUUGCAUGUAUGAGACUUUAAUGUCUAAUGUAUAAUUAUGGGCUAAGUGCCUUGUGUUCAUCUUUUUGAUGCCUAAAUGAUGAAAUCAAUUUAUUUGUUUGAUUAAGAUCAAGAGCAAAGGGGAAAUAAAUCCGAUAAAGGGAAGGAAAAAGUGGUUGAAUAGCUAGCGGAAUCGUUCGACAACACCCGAGGUAAGUUCUUGAGUAAGAGAGCUUAAAUUACAAUGUGAUUAAAUCAUGCUCUAUGUGUGGCUAUUGAGCCGAAUGUGCAAGGACGAUAUGUGCCUUGUGUUUGAGUUUCGCAAAUGAAAAUGAAAUAUGAAUGUGCAUGAUUAAUUGAAUGCUGUCCGGGCUAAGUCCCGAAGGCUUUGUGCUAAGUGAAUAUAUCCGGACUAAGAUCCGAAGGCCUUUGUGCGAGAUACUAAAUCCGGGUUAAGUCCCGAAGGCAUUCGUGCGAGUUAUUAAAUCCGGGUUAAGUCCCGAAGGCAUUCGUGCGAGUUGUUAAAUCCGGGUUAUGUCCCGAAGGCAUUGUGUGAGUUACUAAAACCGGGCUAUGUCCCGAAGGCAUUUGAACGAGGAGCUAUAUCCGGUUAAAUCCCGAAGGUACGUGAUUUGGUAAUGAAUGAGCUUGCUGUAAAAUUCCAGCGAAUACUCGAAAAACAUCCCAAUAUGGGGAUAUGUUACGUAUGUGUUGAAUUUAAUCGAGCCCUUACAAAUAAAUGUUCGCUCAGUUGAUAAACGAGCUACCGGCCUUCGGCUAAGUUAGUCUAUUGUGUAUGUACAUAAGGGUUGUGAAUGUUGUGAAGCAGGUUUGAUAUCGGUAAAUUGCGUAUUAUGAAAUAUUCCAUUUAGCUAAAUGUGUGUUAUUCUUUGUUUAUGCUGGAAUUUCUUGCUCAAAACUUACUAAGCAUAAAUUGCUUACUUCGUUCCAUUGCUCCUCUGUUUUAUAGAUUUUUUGGUUCUCCAGCUAUCGGACUCGGGAUCUUGACGUCGAAGUCGCCCACACUAUCAAAGGCUCUUAUGGGUACUCUUUUGGUUGAAUUUUGAUAUGGCAUGUAUAGGACGACCCAUUGUUGUUUUUCGAGUACUUUAUGUGAUGUAUAAGUUUUGGAUAGCCAUGUGAAAAUGGCUUAUAUGUGUUUAAGUAUAAUGUUAUAAUCAUUUAGUGUGGAUAUGCUUGACAAGGAUUGGCCACGGGGAUGGUUAAUCACUUUCAUAAAUUGUGCUAUGUAUGCAAAAAGGGCUAGUUGAACCAUGAAAUAGGUAAAGCCUACCUUAAAGGUAGAUGCCGACAGCAGCAGUGACGUAGAUUUGGAAAAUCACUAAAAAUAGUAGGAAUGGAAUUAAAUAGUGAAUAAAUUAUGUAAACAAACCUUGAAGAAUCUACUUUCAUAGGAAAGUAACGAAACAAUCAUAUGGACAGUACAGUAAGAGAUAUUCGGGUUCUUGUGGAACAGGGCCAGAACAGUUUCUGGAUUCCCUGUUCCGCCUUUGGAAAUUCACUAUAAAUUGACCAGAGAUAAUUAGGGGUCAUACCAUAUAUGUAUGGAUUCCUCUCUGAGUCUAGUUUCCAUAGAAACAAACGGCAUCAGUAUUGAAGCUCUGUGCAGAGAGAUAUCCAAGUCGUAAUGGGAAAAGGUCAGUGUAGUCAACCCCUAUAACAUGGGAGACAUUGACUAAUAAACUGUACUAAUUGGCCCGACCAAAAAUUCUAGAAAAAAGUACAUAGGUGGGGACAUGAGUCUAGUUUCAGGGAAAAAUCACCAAACUGAUUUUCGAGUUGUGAAACUCAAGAUAUGAUUUUUGAAGCGACUAGUACUCAGACUGGGCAGUGUCUGGAAGGAAAUUUUUCAAAGUUUGUUAACAUCUCGUGU